UAAUAGCUUAAGUCGGCUAGGAGGCACGAUAUUUCGAAUUUUUCCGAAGUCAAACCGCAAGGUAAAACCUUAGGUCGAUGUUCUUUUAAAUUCAGUAUUCAAUAAUCAUAUCUGACGCUAUAUAAUCAGUUACAGCAUCGUUAGCCCAUUAGAGCACAGUGGCAAAUUGGCGUCAUCAGCUUUAACACUGAAAAACUUAGCAUUUUUCUCACAGUGCAUUUACGCUUUCUUACUCUUACAAUAAAGAACGAUCUUUUUUUUAAUUAGUCCUAGUGAUGAUUAUUUUCCUGUUGAGGCAGGAGCUACAUUUCCAAAUGAGAUUAGAGACACGGUAGUAAAUAUUUCGCUUACAAUCUUCUGAAAUGUGACGCAGUGUAGUGUGACGGCGGGAAUCAUUCGAAAAGUUAACGCCUACUUAUUCUACCAGGCUACACGUCGUCACAUUACAGAAGGACGUAGUCCUGAAUUUUUAAAAUAUUCAGACGAAUUUCAGGCUUCAUGAUUAAAUUUACCAGGAACUAAGACACUGAAUUUGUUCAGUACACGUGUGUUAACUUCAUAUUUGUUUUCUUUCAGAUUCCAUUGUUUUGUGGAGAAGUUUCCUUCCCUGUUCUGGGGAGUAGUGAAGGAAGAUUAAGAAUCGUAUAAUGCAACUAUACAACGUUAAUUGGCAUGCGUGAUCACGCAGAGAUAACCUGGAAUUUGACAUUUAUAGUCGUAAAUAUUUCAUUAAUCCGCAGAGGAGAAAGGAUUUUACUGUUAUAAAAGGAACAGACUGAAUACUGAAUUGGCGGAAGACUUAAAAGACACCAGGGCCUAUACUAACUUAUCCCGUUAGUACAGUUCUGCUGACCAUCCUGCGGUGAGAAUGUAGCGAUUCUACACGACUGGUGCAUUUGAAAAACCGCCGCUAAGUGAAGUCAACUAACAAGAGGAUCCAGCAAAUAAGUCUUCUCAGACAGAAACUGCGUUUCUGCCUUCAGCGUGCUGCAGGGCUUUACUGGAUACACGGAGGUCUAGAACUCCAUUCUCAUUAUCUUAAAUAAUUUUUUUCAUUGGAAAUGCAUUUUCAAACAUAAGGAAUCUAAUGAGAGUAGAAUUAGUGAAGCCAGAGUUUUGUGUAAGAAUGCUGGCAAUAGUGGCAAGAAUUUUACAAAUUUGUUAGUAGCCCAGCUCAAGUGUCGUUAUUCCCAAAUCCGGUAAUUAAAAAGAACUAGAUAUAUUUAAUCGCAAACAACAAUCAAAGGAAGACAAAAGAAAAGGAAUGAUCUUUGAUUAUACUACUGUAACUGAGGAAAAAAAUAGAAACAUUUUUAUGCGUGUUACAUAAUGACGUAUUUUAUUACACUAUCAGAAUUAAAUAAAGAAUUACGUAAU